rnacentral:rRNA from 1 species
AGCGUUGCUCGGAAUCACUGGGCGUAAAGCGCACGUAGGCGGACUCUUAAGUCGGUGGUGAAAUCCUGGAGCUCAACUCCAGAACUGCCUUCGAUACUGAGAGUCUUGAGUCCGGGAGAGGUGAGUGGAACUGCGAGUGUAGAGGUGAAAUUCGUAGAUAUUCGCAAGAACACCAGAGGCGAAGGCGGCUCACUGGCCCGGUACUGACGCUGAGGUGCGAAAGCGUGGGGAGCAAACAGG